rnacentral:tRNA from 1 species
GCCCUGAUAGUUCAAUGGAUAGAACAAGGCACUCCUAAGGCUUAGAUGCAGGUUCGAUUCCUGCUCAGGGCA